UACAGCCAUAUUACGUUGGAACACUGGUUUUCGUCCGAUCAACGAAGUUAAGCAACGUCGAGCCUGGUCAGUACCUAAACGAGUGACCGCUUGGGAAUUCCAGGUGUUGUAAU